UUGGGUGAUCAAAACUCUGCCAUAUAAACCGACCCUUAGAGUCAUGAAGAACCAUGUUACCAUUUGAGAGUAACUUGAACCCAACAACGCCUUUAUUGGCAGUGUUGGUUUGCCAAGCAAUCCGGCCAUCAGCAUCGGCCAAAACAAGGUUUCCAUCAGUUCCAAAUGUGAGGGUGGCAUUUUCACCAACUGGGUUGCCACGGUUGGCUUCCCAGACCCAACGCAUAAGUGACCUAGAACUCACUGUACCCAUGCGCAGAGCAAGAGUAUAUGCAUUAGGAGUGGUGUUAUAAAAGCAAAGUUGAAAGGGCUGGGCAAACGGGUCUAAGACUCGGUAAUCGGGACCAUACUCCACAACAUAAUCCCCAAAUUCACCUUCAUUAACAUACUUGAAGGUUGCAGAAGGAGGAACAGAGGCUUGAGCGAUGGCGAAGGAUAAGCAAAGAGAGAGCAAUAGUUGGUGAAGAGAAAACAUUUUGGUUUGCUUGCUAGUUUUUGGGUUUGGUUGGUAUAUAAAAUCAAGGUAGAGAUGUACCCUUUUAUAGGAGAAAUGGAGGAGGAGGUUUUAGCCGGUCAAAUUGACUUGCAAGUUGAACGUGGUGGGACGGUGGUGGGCUUCAUUUAAUUUUAUAUCAUAGAUUUCUCAUAUUUCCGGAAAAAAAGAAAAUCCGGCUGAGUAAUUCUUUUGUCUAAAUUUUGAAUUUUUUUGUUUAAUUAUUUAAAUUCAUUUAUUUUAAUUUAAAUAUUAGUAAAAUAUUUAAUUAUUGCUGUUGCAUGAUGAAUAAGAACAAAGUAUUAUUUUUCUCCUGUCUCUGUUAAUUGUAAUUUAAUAUUAAUUAGUUAUUAUUUUUAUUAUAUAUAAAAAAUUAUAAUUAUCCCCUCUCUUUUCUCCUCGCUCCCACUUGCACCAACCCCUCCCUUUCUCAUCAUUAAUGAGACACAACCACCUGGACCAAUGCAAUUGGACAAAUUGCCAACCAGCUAGCAUGGCGAGCCAAUAGUAUUCAAUUUAAAUAAAAACAUUAAUUAAAUUUAAUUUUUACUUUUUCAAUUUUAUUUUAAAAAUUUUAAUUAUUUCAAUUUAAUUUAAUUUUCAUAAAAAAUUAAUAAAAUUUAACUGAACUUAUUAAUAAAUAAUAAUAUAUUACUUUUAAUGAUUUAAAAAAAUUAAAUCAUAAUUAAAAUUAAAAUAUUUUAAUUAAAUUUUAAAAUAUUAAAAAUAAUAUAUUAAAAAAUUUAAUCGAUUAAAUUAAAUAAAAUUAAAUCAAUUCAAUAUAAAUUAAUUUUCAUUUAAAAUUAUUUUAAUUCAACUUUUACUAUACUAAAAUUUGAUUUUUCACUUAAUUCAGUUGAAUUCACGGAAUGCUUACUCUUAUAUUGCUGAGCAGCUGACGAACAAGCAGUGGUCGCUCAUUGAAAAUCAGUAUUGUGAUGGUAGAUAAUGGUGACUUUUUAAUUUGAUAAAAAAAAAAUAAAAGUUUGAGUGAUUAAACUUAAAAUAUAUUAAAAAGUAAAAUUUUUAAUUAAAAAAAUGGCAAUUGACACAGAUGCAAUUAGAAAAAAAAUAAUGUUUACACUUAUAUAUAUAAUCAUGAAUAAAAAAGUUAAUUUUUUUAGCAUAAAUUAAUUUUAAUAAAAAAAAUUUAUUAUUUAAUUUUAAUAUAAUAAAAAAAUUUAUUAAUUAGUCUUUUAAUUUUAAAAAAUAUAUUAAAAUAUCUAUAAAUUUUUAUUUUAUUAUUUUUAAUAAUUAAUUAUUUUAUUAUUUAAUUUAUAUAGUAUAAAAAAAUUUAAUAAUUGAUAUUUCAAUUUUAUAAAUAUAUUUACUAAUUAAUUUUUAUUAUUUUAAAUAUUUUAAUAAAUACUUAAUAAGAGACUAAUUAAUAUAUUUUAAAAAUAUUUUAACAUAUUUUUUAAAAUUAAAAAAUUAAUUAAUAAAAUUAAAUAGUACUUUUUUCUUUUAAUAAUAUGUAAAUAAGUUUAUAUAUUUUUAUCAGGGAGAGAGCUCAAUUUUGUUCUUAAGCUUUUAGCCACAUAUAAAUCUAAAUAAAUUUAUUAUUUAGAAAAAUAUGAGUUAAUAUUUUAACUUUUUUAUUAAUAAAAUAUUAAAUUGAAAAUUUAAAAUAUUUUAAGGUCAAUUUACAAAUUUAGUAAAAUAAUAAUUGGGAAAAAUUAUUAAUAAAUUGAACAUGAAACCACAAAUAAUAAAAGAAUAAAAAUAAAAUUUUAGAACUCAGUAGUUGACUUGUUCCGUUAUAAACGGCCGACGAUGCAUCGACCAGGGUUGUAAAGCACACAAUGGAUAGAAUAAAAAACGAGAAGCAGUAAUUCACCAAAAUAAAAAAUACUUCAUUCCUCCUCAAAAAUGUAAAUUUUAUUUUAUUUUUACAUGAAUAAAUAAUUAUUAUAUAAUUAAAAUAAUAAAUUUGAUUUACAAUUUUUAAUAUACCUCAGCAUAUAUUAUUUUAUUAAAAUUAAAUAAUUUUUACUAUAAAAUGCUAUUAUUGAAGUUUUUAUUUUUAAAAUUUUUAAAGUAAAAUAAAACUUAUAAAUAAUAAAUUUCGACAUAAAUUUGGUCAAACAAAGAGGGCAGUCUUCGUUGACCAAAGAAAACAAGCAUCACUGUACGUGGACAAUUGGACUAGGGAUGUAAACGGGUAAGGUACCUGCAAAAUUGAGAGUAUCCAAUCCGAUUAUAUAUAUAAUUUUUGAAUCCGUUUUAAAUCCAUUUAAUAUUUUAAUUUUAUUAUCUGAACCCGUCCCAAAUCCAUUUAAUAAUACCUGUAUAAUACCGGAAUCCGAUUUUUUAAAUUUAAUUCAAUGACAAGAGAAAUGUUCAAUGACAAGAACAACAACUCAACAACCCAGCAAAUAAUAAUUUAUAACCAGAUAAUCAAAUUAAUUGUUCAUAAAUUCUAAAAAUCAACAGUAUUACAUUAAUCAAAUAGCAAAUAAUUAAAUUUUUUAAAAGUAUCUAAAUAAUCAAUUCAAUGAUAAAAAUUACCAAAUAAACUAGAAGGAGAAAUGUUCAAUGACAAGAAACAGCAACUCAGCAAACUCAACAAACCCAACAGUAGAAAGUUCCAGUCAAAAAAUUUGAUUGCAAACCUGAAGAAAGUUCCAGUUAAAGGAGAUGUCGCCGACAACAAUUGGGGAGAGGCAAGGGUCCAGCAUAAGUGAAGUGGGGGAAAGAAGCGUCAAUUGAAAAGAGUACAUGUCACCGACCGGAAGAGAGAAGGAGAUAUCGCCGAUGCCGACCGGGGAGAGGGAAGAGUUGUCUCCGACUGGGAAGUGGGAGAUGCCGCCGCUGGAGAGAGAAGGAGAUAUCACUAACUGGGGAGAGAGAAGAUUUAUCGUCAUUGUCGACUGGGGAGAGAAAGGAGACGUCGCCGGUGCCAACUGUCGACACUCGUCAGUGAAGUGGGGGAGAGAGGCCUUGUCUGGGAAGUGGGAGAUGUCGCCGACUGGAGAGAGAGAAGGAGAUAUCGCACUGUAAAGAGAGAAGAUUUAUCGAGGAGAGAAAGGAGACGUUGCCGGUGCCGAUUGGGCUGCCGGCAGUCGUCAUGAAGUGGGGGAGAGGCGUCGACGAAGAGAGAAAAGGGAAGCGAGGGAGAGAGGCGCGCCAACGGAGAGAGGAAAGAAAGAGUAAAAUGAAAAAGGAAAUUAGGGUUAGUUUUGUUAAUAUAGGUAAUCGGGUUUGGGUAAUGGGUAUACGAUCACCUAACCCCGAACCCUACCCGAAUCCGAAACGGGUAAAAUUUUUCAAAUCCGAAUCCGUCCAAAUCUGUUUUGUAAAAAUCCAAAUCUGUCUUAAUAGGAUUUGGGCGGAUCGGGUACCCAUAAAAACCUGACCGCCUGACAUCUCUAAACUGGACAUGGAGACCACCGUCUGAUCCUCAUAAACUCUCUGUCUUUUGUCGUACAAAAAACCGUACGUUUAUUAAUACUAUUUGACAAUUAAUAUUUUUUAAAACAAUUAUUAUUUAAUUUUAUAAUAUAAAAAAAAUUACUAAAAAAUCUAUUAAUUAAUUUUUUUUAUUAAUUUUAAUUAUUAAAAUUUUACAAAAAAUUUAAAAUAUCUGCAUAAAUUAAUUUUUAAAUUUUUAAAAAUACAUAAAUUAAUUAAUAAUUUUUUUAAAAUUAUAAAAUUAAAUAAUAAAAUUAAAAAGUUAUUAUUUAAUUUUUAAAUAUUAUUAUUAUUAAAUUUCUCAUCUGAGUCGAUACUCUCACCUUUUCUUUCUCCUUAAAUUUCAUUUAUAUUUUUUCUUUUUCUAUGGAAGACGAUCUACAUCAAUUGACUAUCGAUAAAAAAGAAAAUAUUAUUAUUCCUAUUAAGGGUUAUAUAAAUAUUUCGAUCGUCACUUAUAAUUUUUAUAUGACAGAUAUAUUUUUCACAUACAAUCUAAUUAAUUUUGAGAAUAUAUAAAUUUUUUUGGUAAAUUUAUAGCGGUAAUCCUCGAACAGUUAAUAUAUCGAAGGAUUUGGUUACUAGUUACAAAUCAAACAUUUUAUUUUUGAUAGAAAUAAAAACUCUUAGUUCUCUUAUGAAAUUUUUUCAUAAAUUUUUACAUUUUGAUGAUUAUUUCUCAGUUAAUAAACAAGAAUUGGGAGGAGAUCUUUCGUUGAUAUGUAAGAGUCGUGUGUUUAUUUCUGUAGUUGAUUUUUCUUCAAAUUUUAUUGAUUCGGUUGUUUCAGAAGGUAAUGUUUAAUGACAGUUUACUAGUUAUUAUAAGUUUCUAAAAUCGCAAUAACAAGGUAAGUUAUUGAACCUUAUUCGAAUUUUAUUUCAUAGAAACUCUCUUAUGUGGUUUUGUUUGGUAGACCUUAAUAAUUUAUACUCGAGAGAUGAGAAAAAAGUAGGAAUAUCUUUAUCAAAUUAUGGGGGUUUAGAUAGACAAUUGAGCAAUAUUUUUCCUAAAUUAUCUGGGCUUGAUUUUGAAUGAUUAUUUAUUUUUGUUAUACUCUAAAACUGAUAUUUCUGUUAAAUAGAUUCGUAAUAAUAAUACUCUAACUACUAGGGGUGAGCAGUAUUCGGUUUAAACCGAAAUAACCGACCGAACCGAUUAAUUUCAAAAUUUUGGUUCGGUUUUAUUUUUUUUCCGGUUCGGUUCGGUUUGAAAUUUUUAAAAAAUCGGUGAUUUCGGUUCGGUUCGGUUUUAGACGUAAAAUUUUCGAUUAGACCGAACCGAACCGAAAUCAACUAUACUACGUCGUUUUAAUAGUUUCCUAUUCCCUAAUUCCCUAUUUCCCUUCCCUUCCCUUCCCUGCCCUAAAUCUAAAACAAAUUUCUAUCUCUUCGUGCGUGCCACCAAGGCUCCUCUCAUCUCUAUGCUCUGCUCCAUCUGCUCCAUCUCUCAUCUCCAUCUGCUCCAUCUCUCUCUCUGUGCUCUGCUCCAUCUCUCAUCUCGCCACGAGAUUCUCGCGCCUGUGCCUCCACUCUCCUCUCGAUUGGACUGAUUCACCAUCGGCGUCGGCCGUUGCUCUCUAUCGGCUCUCCACGCGUCGUCGGGCAGUCAACAAUCUCUCAUCUCUAUGCUCUGCUCCAUCUCUCAUCUCGCCGCGAGAUUCUCGCACCUGUGCCUCCACUCUCCUCUCAACUGAACUGAUUCACCAUCGGCAUCGGUCGUUGUACUCUAUCGGCUCUCCACGCGUCGUCGGACAGUCGGCAAGUGCUUAUUCCACAGCCCUCAGUCAGUAAGUGUUAUUUUGGCAAGUGUUAUUUGCUGUUGAUUGUUGAAUUUGUGUGUUGAAUUUGUGUGCUGUGAUUGUUCUUUUUACUCUUUUUAGAUUUAAUUUUAGAACACUAAAAAUCAAUCUAAAAAGAGUAAAAAGAAUAAUGAAAAGUUUGAAAAUCGGUUUAACGGAUCGAACCGACUGAACCGAAUCGAACUGAACCAAAUCGGUUUGAUUCAGUUAUCUCUCUUAUUCGGUUCGGUUCGAUUUAUGUAAAAUACUGCAAUUCGAUUUUUAGUUAUUUCGGUUCGGUUUGAUUUUGAACCGAACCGACCGAAUGCUCAUCCUUACUAACUACUCAUAUUUUACCUACAUAAUUUAUCUCUCUCCUUGAAAUGAUAUCUUUCAUUAUUUAAUAAAAUUUUAAUAAUACAAUCAGCUUUAUUUUAAAAAAAAUUAAAUAAUAAAAUUUUUAACUAUAAAAUUAAUAAAAAAAUAAUUAACAAAAUUUUGGGUUAACUGUCAAAAUUCAUACUCCAUUUAAGCUAUUAUAACAUAUAUAUAUAUAAUAAUUUAAAAUAAAUUAAAUGUAUUAAAUUUUAUUUUUCCAUAAAUUAUAAAUAUAAUUUAUUAUUACUAAUUGAAUAUGAAAACUCAGCUGGUGAGGUGGCAGUCAUAUUCAUAUAAAGAUUUUCCUCAGGGACACAUUGUGGUGGGGCCAUCUUAAUGUCUUAUCCCCAAAUUAUUGGCGGAGGCGGCUAAAGGAUUUUCAUGCAUCCUUAUCCUCGAGAAUGCAUUAUCUGUCCUGGAAAGAUGGUUUUAACCUAUUCUUUUUUUUUUUUUUUUGAAAAAAAAAAAAUAAAAAGCAAUCUCAAAUUUUUUCCCCCUCAAAUUUUAAUGAUUAUAUUUAAUUUUAUACAUUUAAAUUUUUUUUACCCGAAUUAUAAAAAUAUUUUGAUUUAGAUCAAUUUACCCAUUUUUAAUUUAAAAUAUCAAAAUACCGAUUUUAAAUUUUCAAUAGUAAAAUAUUAAUAUUACAUUUUGAUAUUAAAAUUAUUUAUUAUUAUAAUCAAUAUAAUAAAAAUAAAAAUUAAAUUUUAAUAUCAAAAUAUAAAUUAAUAUUCUAGUAUUAAAGUUGAAAAACUAAUAAUUUUUUUAAAAAAGAUAAAUUUAAUUUUAAAUCAAAAUGUUCUAAUAAAUUGAAUAAAAAAUUAAUUUUAAAUGAAAUUAAAUGAAACUAUACUAUGAUUACUAUGGCAGCCACUCUAACUAAUGAUUAAGUUAAUAUACUGAAAAAAUAGAGAAAAUAUAAUAGAUUGCUUAAAAAUUAAAUAAUAUUAUAAAAUAGUAAAUAUUUAUCUUUGUGAUUCUUUUUUUUUAUAUUAUAAGAACGUAGGGAUAAACUUGAUAUUUUUUGAUAAAUUGACGAUGAUGUGACCGACUACUUAAUAAGAGAUAUUGUUUGCUAAUGAGUGAGAAAUUUUGCGAUAACAGACGUAAUGGGAAUACGGUGCACUGUUUCUGUUUAUUGGUAACUUUGUAUUAAGUCUCGCCCUGUCGAGGGAAGGGUGAGUCUUGGAUGAUGAAUCAGGUGUUUAGGGCAUUCGGAUCUUCCAUUCUUUGCGCUGGACCAUGUUUCUCACUUAUCAUAUCAUUGUUACGUAUUCCAGUCUCGUGGUAAUAGCUCAUGACUUAUUUUAAGCGAUUGUUAUGUAGCAUCAAAGAUCCCCGUUUGUAUUCGACUCUUAAGAUUCGAAGGAGAUAGUUGUUCUCAAGGUCUGGGGCACGUGGCCUCCUGAGAUUGGUUUUUGCUGCUCACGCCAUUUCGUCCAUUUAGCCCCUCAAUGAUGAUCGCACUGCUUAUCAUGUCGUAUUUAAAAUCUGGCAUCAAAAUCGUCUUAUAAAAGCCCUUAUUCUUUCCCAAAUAUCGUUUUUGUAAUACCCGGCUAGACUCCGACGUCGGAAUUCCAACCUUUUGACGGAAUCCCCAUUGGAAUCCGGAAUCUCGGAUGUCGGAACCUCUUAGAAGGGUAAAAUAAGUUUUUCACAAAAUGAAUUUUAUGGUUUUACUUUUUGUUUUUGUAUUAAAGAAUUUUAAGAAGAAAGAAAAGAUUUUUUGAAGAAAAAUGCUUUGGAGGGGAAAAAUCAGGUUCGGCCGUUGAACCUUCAUGCUCGGCCGCCGAACAUGGUGCUGCCGCGGGAGCUCUCCUUUCGGCCCCUGAAGGUGGUCUGGCCAGCCAUCUAUAAGAGGCCUCCAGUCCGAAAAUGAGAGAGUUUCUCUCUCCAUUUUCGGGCAAAGGUGAGUUCUUGCCCUCUCAUUAUUGAUUUUGUUAUUUUUCCUUCAAAUCCUUCAAAAUAUUCAUGAGUUUUCCCUCGUUUUUGAAGAUUUGAGCUUAAAUAUGAGUUUUGAACCUUGGAGACCUCUGGAGACCGUUUGAACUCAUCUCCACUGUAAUACCCGGCUAGAUUCCGGCAUCGGAAUCCCUACCUUCGGGCGGAAUCUCCGUUGAAAUCUGGAAUUCUGAAGAUGCCAGAGUCUUCUAGAAAGGUAAAGUGUGUUUUUUAAAAUGUUUUCACAUGAUUUUAUGGUUUUAAAUGAAAAAGAAAUGAGUUUUGAAAAGAAUAGGCCAAGGAGGAAGGACCCAGGUUCGGCCGCCGAACAUGGGGCUGUUUCGGAAGUGCUUUAGGCCUCCGAAGGCUUUGAGGGCAGAAACCAGGUUCGGCCGCCGAAUCUCAAGUUCGGCUGCUGAACAUGGGAUAGUUUAGGGGGCACGUUAGGCCGCCGAAGGUGGUUGACCGGCCACCUAUAAAAGGCCCCUCAGACCGAAAGUGGGCGAGUUUUCUCUCCAUUUUUGAGCUAAGGUGAGUUCAUGUUCUCCUUUGGUCGAUUUCAUGUUCUUUCUUCAAAUCUUUCAAGUUUUAACAAGUUUUAGCUUGGGUUUUGAAGUUGUGAGCUCAAGAUCAAGUUUUGGGAGCUUGGAGACCCAAAGAGUUGUUUUCUCCCAUCUCCAAGUUAGGGAUCGCACCAACCCUCGAUCUUCAAGAGGUAAGUGUAGAUCCACGCCUUUUUCUUUGUUUUAAGCAAGUUUUAAGAAGUUUUGAUGCUUGUGUGAGGGUAGAUGUGCAUGUUUAGGUUUAUGUGGGUUUAUGCUCAAUGUAUGUUUAUAUGAUGUUUUGUUGGGAGGUUUAAGCUAGUUUAUGCCCUAUUUGCAUGAGGGAGUGUGUAUGCAUGUUUGGGAGAGAGCAUGUGAGGUUUUCAGUUGUUUUGGAAGGUUUGGAGGCUGUUUGUGCAUGAGGAGGCUGAGUUCUGCCCUUCGGGAAGAACUCAGGUUCGGCCGCCGAACCUGCCUGUGGUGGCUUGUUUUGGCUGCCGAACCCUGCCCUCGAAAGUUGGACUUUCGGCUCUGGAGGGGAGUUUCGGCCGCUGAAGGUGCCGCCGAACAUGCACGAGUUUCGGCUCUGGAACCACUUUCGGCAGCCGAAGGUGUCGCCGAAAGUGGCUGAGUUUCGGCUCUGGAGGGACUUUCGGCCGCGGAACCUGCCGCCGAAAGUGCCCUGUUCAGCCUUCUUUUGCAUGAUUUCUAUGGUUGUUUUAUGAUGUUUUAGGGGAUUUUCGGGGAAAUGUUUAGAGUCCUAUUAGAGUAUGUUUGGUCCCUCAUUUGAGUCCACCUGUGUAGGAACGGACCUGAGGAACUGAGGUGUUCGGCAGUGAGUUAGCUGCUUCAGAGUUAGUAAGCGUCAGCCAGAGGUGAGUGGAACUGAACCUUAUGUUUAAAAAUAUAAAUCAAAUGUUUUAAGCAUACUCAUGCAUCAUGAAUACCAUGUUAUGUAAUAGGUUGUUUACAUUAGAAUUCACGAAUAUGAUGCAUUGCAUAAUAUGAUGAUGAUGAUGUGGAUGAAUAUUGAAUGAUCCUCUAGCUCUCUGUACGGUACGAUAUGAUAUGAUAUGACAUGAGAUAGAUAGGCCAGACGUGGCUGUAUUGCCCUUGGCAAUAUGUUAUGAUAUGAGCUAUGCAAGAGAAGACCAGGUGAGGCUGUAUCGCCCCUGGUAUAGUCGGACGUGUUAUGAUAUGAGCUAUGUAAGAGAAGACCAAGUGAGGCCGUAUCGCCCCUGGCAUAGUUGGACGAGUUAUGAUAUGAGAUUGUGGAGGGCUAGUGGUGACAAGUUCAUCCUUAAUGUGUAUUGUUUGUGAUGUGAUGCAUUCCAUGAUGGCAUAUUUUUAUGAGUUGUUUUCACUGUUCUGCUCACUGGGCUUUAUAGCUCACCCCUCUCUCCUAACCCCAGGUUUGUAGGGACAGAGUUAGUUCAGAAGUUCAGCAGGUUAUGGCUAUGGUUAUAUUUUGUAAUAGGAUAGUAGUGGACAUGAUGUAAUGUAAAAUCAUGUAAUGAUGUAAGAGCAUGUAUUGUAAUGUAAGGAUAUGUAAUGGCAUGUCUUGGUUAGAGUUGUGCUUUGCCCUAGUUAUGUAUGGUUAAUCCUUUUGAUACAUGAUAGUAUGUUAAUGUUUAAAUGAUGAUGAUUAUGCAAACCAAGCUUAAUGUAUGAUAUGUUGACCCAACUGGAGCAUUUGAUGAGGGCUCCAGUAAGGGGUUUUAUGUUACAGCUUUUGUGCAUGCACAGGUUAAGCUUGGAAAAUGAAAGGAAAAGUUUAAAGUUUUUAUGUAUAUGUAUGGUCAUGUAUGGGAUUAACAGGUGUACAGGAUGCAUGUUAGGCUUGCUACGGGUCCCGGCGGCCUUAUGCCGAUCUGGAUUCCUAGCGCCGGUAGCGGUCCGGUUUUCGGGUCGUUACAUCCACGUUGGGGUUGCUGUCACUCCUAGAUCUCUAAGAGGUAAGCCUACAUCAUUGCUUUCCUUAUGUUUUAAAUGAGUUUUAAGAAGGGGUAAAAGGCUAAAAAUGCAUAAAAUGGGUAGAUCUAUAGUUUUUGAGUUGUGUUAGUUUUGUUGAUAAAAGUUUGCUCUUAUGAGUUUUUAUGGUUGUUUCUUUGGGAUUUAGGCUAGUUUUUGUGCCCUUAUGCUUGAUGAGUGAGUAUGCAUGUUUUGAUGAGUUGGGUGUGAGGAUUUGAGAGUUUUGGGUGGCUGAAUGCAUAGGGCAGAAUCGGGUUCUACCUAGUUGGAGAACCCAGGUUCGGCCAUCGACCCUGUAUGGGAGGCAGCCUUUUGGCCGCCUAACCUGCCCCUGAAAGCAUGGACUUUCGGAUCUGUGAAGGGGUUUCACCGCCGAACCCGCUCCUGAAAGUCCCUGACUUUCGGAUCUGUAUGGAGUUUAGGCCGCUGAACCUGCCCCCAAAAGUCCCUGACUUUCGGAUCUGUGAGGGACCUUCGGUCGCCGAACCUGCCGCUGAAAGGCCCCUGCCCAGUCUUCCUUUGCUUGUUUCCUAUGCAUGUUUUGGUAGGUUUUAGGGGGGGGGGUUUGGGAAGUUGUUUAGAGUCUUGUAAUAGUUAUGCUUGGUCCCUCAUUUGAGUCCAUUUGUGUAGGAUCGGACCAAGGAGACCGUAGAGGCCUGCAGUGAGGUAACUGCACCAGUGUUAGGCAAGCGUCAGCCAGAGGUGAGUAGAACUGAACUAUCUUUUCAAAAUAACUAAACUUUUAAGCAUGUUCAUGCAUCACGAAUGCCAUGUAUAUGUAUUAGGAUGUUGCAUUAGAAUUCACGAAUAUGAUGCAUUGCAUAAUUUAUUGUUGAUGUGGAUGGAUAUUGGAUGACCCACUAGCCCUCGAGAUGUUAUGAUAUGAUAUGAUAUGAUACGGAAAGACUAGGGCUGCCCAUUCUACGCCCCUGACACGAUGUAAGAGAAAGACCAGGGCUGCUCAUUCUAUACCCCUGGCAUUAUGGAUAUAUUAUGUUAUGUUUAAGCGAAAGUCCUGAGGGGCUCAGUUGAGGGCCGGACACAUUGGAUUAUGUAGAGGGUUACUGGUGACAAGUCCAUCUUGAUGUGAAUUGUUUGUGUUGUGACGCAUUUCAUAUGAGCAUAUGUUUAUUAAACUAUUUUUAUAUUCUACUCACUAGACUCUUGUAGCUUAUCCCUUUCUCCUAACCCCAGGUUUGCAGGGUCGAAGAUAGCUCGGGAAGCCGGCAUAGUAGCUGGUAUAGUUUAAUGUAAUAGAAUAGUUGUGGACAUGUAAAAAUUUAAUGGAUUAGUAUUGUGCUUGGCCCUAGUUUUCUUUACCUUGUAAUCCCUGUUAACAUGGUCUUUAUGUAAAAGUUUUAAUUAUGAUUUAUGUUUGAACUAAGCUUGAGGCAUGUGAUGUUAACCAUACUAGAGCAUUUGAUGAGAGCUCUAGUAUGAGUUUUAUGUUUUCAGUAUGAUACAUGCACAGAUUGAGCUUGGUUUCAUGAAAUGUUUAAGUUUUUGUUAUAAUGUAUGAUCAUAUAUGGGAUUUUAUCACGUACACAGGAUGUAUAGUAGGCUUGCUACAGGUUCUAGCGACCUUAAGUCAAUCUGAAUUCUAGCGUCGGUAGCGGUCCAAUUUCCUGGUCGUUACAGUUUUUGCUAUCUCCUGUGAUCCUUUGUUUUCAGAAAAACUCGUUCACUACUUUUUUUUUUACUUAUACUCCUUACAAUAAUUUUUGUUUCUUUUUUUUUUUCUUGGUAUGAACAAGAUUACUUCUUCCCUUUCCCUUAACAAGGUUCUACCUCUAGCUCCUCUUUCGAUAGCCCUAUCCGUACCCCAGCCUCUGUUGUUCCAUUGAGGGAGGUUCUGAAAAACGAGGUCGACCUGAUUAGUGAUACUUUAUCUGUCCUUUUGGAGCGUAAUGUAGACUGUCUCUAUGAUACCUAUUAAAUUCCUCAAAAGGUUUUCUGUGUCUUUGCUCUUUCUCUACGCAUCCGUGUGAGUGAUUUGAUUUUGCAGAGUAUACUAUUAUGGUCUUUGAGAAGCAAUUAAAGACAGGUCUUUUUUGAUUCCUUAUGGACCUAUUUUUUAUGGAUGUUCUUUGGUUUUAUAAACUUUCGAUUGCCGAACUGUAUUCUAAUAGCUGAAAAAUUCUAAUGGCUUUUCAGUUCGUUUGCCUAAAUAACCACAUCGAACCAAGUGUAACAUUUUUCUCUCAACUCUAUCAACUAGAUAUCUACAAAAGUGAAAAAUUUUGAUAUUUUAACGGACAAAACCACAUUACCUAUUUGAUAUGGUAUCCCACCUUAACGUGGAGGAAAAAUAGAUAUUUUGUCCUUUGCCACUCGACGCUAGAGGGUUUUGACCAUAUUUUACAAAAUAGAUUUUUGGUAUUUCUUAAAGUCGUUUUGUAAUUAUCUCUCAAUAUCUUAGAAAUGCAACUUUACAAUUAUAUGAUAAAAAAAAUUAUACAUGAGGUAUAUACGUAUUAUUUCAUAAAGGUAUAAUCAAUUUAAGAAGAAUAAAUUAAAAUAAAAUAAUAAAAAUUAUUUUUAUAUCGUUGACGUCGAAGAAGAAUCCAUGGAUUACGAACAAAGAAAACAAAAACCACUGUGGAUAUUAAGACCACCCUCAGAUCAUCACAAAUUCUGUCUUUUAACGUACAAAAAAUAUUAAGUUUGUCAAUAUUUGACAAUUAAGUUAUUUUUUCUUUUCAAAAAUUAUUUUUUAUAAUUUAAAAUUUUUAUUAAAACCUAUAUAUAAAUUUAUUGAUAUAUUUUAUUUUUUCACAAACAAGUGGAGUUUUAAAAUAAUUAUUAUCCAUAUUAAUAAUAUAUUAAUUAAUAAUAUAUAGUGAUUUAAAAUAAAUUUAAAAUUAUUACUAUUUGAAAAUAUUAUAAUUUUUUAUUAAAUUUUAAAAUUAAUAUUUUUAUUAAAUAAAUUUAUCAUAGUUAUUUUAAUUGUUCAUAUUUUAACUAUAAAAUUUAUUAAAUAUAAUUAACUUUCAAUUUUAAAAUGAAAUCUCUUUUUAUUUUUAUUAAAAAAAUAUUAAUAUUUUAAUAAAAUUAUUAUAUAUUUUAUUAUUAUUGAUGGAGUAUAAUUAAAGUUUUUGUUUGUAUUCAUAUAAUAAUUUUGAGGAUAGAGAUAUCACGUGGACUAUCUCAGUAUCGUUUCAGUAAAUAAUUGGUGGAGGCGUAAGGGACUUGCAUGCAUGAAUUCUUAUACUUAAUUAAGCCUGCAUAUUUGUUUUGGAAAGAUGAUUUUGACCUUUUAUUUUUAUAUAAUUAUAUAGAAAAAUAUUUAUUUUGGCUACACAGAAUCUUAUGUAACAAGUAACAUAUUAUUAAAAUCAAAUCAAUUGCAUUAAUUUAUUCGUAAAAUCCCACACCUUAACAUAAAACAAAAAACCAGCUAAAAAAUACAUAAAAUUACAAAAAAAAAAANNNNNNNNNNNNNNNNNNNNNNNNNAAAAAAAAAAACUUGUCACAUUCUUUCUUAUCAUUCCCUUUAUUGUUCAUACUUGCAUAUAAAAUCUUCAAUCCAAGCUGAAAAUACCCACCUCGAAAAUCACUUAUUUGGCGUCUUAAUGAAUGCCAAAUGUGUAGAAUUAUCAACUUUUGUUAAGGUUUUGAGAUCGUAGGCAAUCCAGCAUUUAGAUGAUUGUGUGUGGUAAAAAUAAGCCAAGCACUUGCAAUCCUUGCUGCAUUUGCUGCUACAAGCAUUCUGCUUCAUCGGUCCAUCUCCAUUUGUGUACUUGGAAUUGAAAUGAUCAACCCCUUCUAGUUUAUAGUAGUAAAAAUCUUUCACUCCACAUGAAGACAGCUUUGGUGCCUGACAAUUCUUGCUCCAGCCCAGCAAGCCUUUUGGUGAUGGACAAGCAAUACACUGAUCAUCUUGGCAUAGCCCAAAGUUACCACACUUUUCUGGUAAUUGGCAUUGUGUUUCCCAAGAGUCUUUGGAAAACAAAGUAUAGGUCACUUGCCAUGCACUCCAAUCUGCAUUAUCUUCGUAAGUGUGUAUUCUAAGGUUUCCAUCUAUUUCCAACCGAAGAUAAGACAAUGUAGUGUUGUAUUUAGGCCUUCUAAGAGUGAGAGUUCCACCGGAAGAGGACGUAGGACCCUGGUAUUCUAAAGAUAAACCUGAGAUAAAUGUUACAUGAUUCAAAGGGCCCUCCAAUACACUUAAAAGUUCAGAAAAUGAGAAGUAAAGCAAAGAUUUUGGGGAAUUUGGAGAUUUGUAGUACAUGGCUAAG
rnacentral:lncRNA from 1 species